CAUCUUUUUUCAUCUUAACACCCAAAGAAAAAACUUUUUAGCCAACGGGCACGUAGCACACAGCUCUCGAGCCGUUACACGGCUAGUUUGGGUAUAGGGGUUAACCAUUGGUUAACGUGACUGUUCGCCAACAGUAACCUCAUCUUUCCAAAAAAAUUGGAAACUGUUUCGAUGAUAACUAAGGGCUUUUAAAAACAGAAUAUUCUCCAUUAAUUUCACCUCUCGGUUAACUGUGCCACGGUUAUAAAUAACGGAGGAAUACAUCCCUUCCAUUUCACCCGAGCCAUUCUGCCUGUUCA
rnacentral:lncRNA from 1 species